GCAGCAGCAAGCGAGCCGUUUGCUGUCGUUUUUGUCUUUAAUCAUAAAUAAAGCGUAACAAUUGAAAAUAAAGGAAAAUCGGUGAAAUAAUAACGCAUAAUUUUUAAUGAAGAGAUAAAUUUUCAGAAAUCAUAAUUCAGUUGGAUUUUUGUGCAUCAGUGUCAACGAUUCAAACAACGAUUAAGAAGAUAGUAUAUUUUAGAUAUAUGAUAUUUGUGACUUCUACAUGUUAAAUUUUCUGAUUCAAGAAUAUUUUCAUAAAAAUUUAAGCCACGAGGAAAUUAAAGACAUCUUAUUGAAAAACCAUGGCAUAGUUACAUCCGUAACUACUGUAAAAAGAAGACUUUCAUCAUUAGGAUUAAAAAGAAAAUAUUAUAAAGAGUCUAGUACAGUUGACAUUGUAACUGCAAUAAUUGAAGAGUUAUAUUCAAGUGGAUAUAACCUAGGAUAUCCUUCAUUGUGGGCAAAAUUAAAAAAAAAACUAUAAUCUCACAGUGAAGAGAGAAACUGUUUAUCGCUUUUUAAAAAUAGCUGAUCCAGAAGGUGUGGCAAAUCGUUAUGGGAAUAAGCUACGUAGACGUGAAUAUUUAAGUCCAGGACCAAAUUUCUUAUGGCAUCUGGAUGGUUAUGACAAACUCAAACUGUUCGGGUUAUGUAUGGCCGUUUAGCGAGAUUUGACUUUCGCGCCGUAGCGCGUCAAUCGCUACGGCGAGAGCGGGCGAGCGCAUGCGCGCGCCGCCAGGGGCGUCUCCUUUUCACGCGGGAUUGGGGCUAGCGAGGGCGUGCCUGUCAGUUCUGACAGCUCCCCCCGAGGAACCGGUCGACUUUUGCAUUUUGCAAAUAACUUGCGUCUACACCUCUUGUAUUUGCGUGCAAUUAAAGUCAUCACUCACGUCCUUUUCAGGACGGUCGACUCUACUUGUAAUUCCGUGCGUCGCGUAUUGUGUGCGAAUUACGAGCGGUGUGCUGUGUGUGUGUGUGUGUUUUUCGUGUGUUGGGCCGUCGGCCACGUUCGAGUUUCCUCGGCGUGCCGAUCUCCACCCGGCGAUCGCUACCUACGCGGCAGGGCUGAAAAGGUCUGCCCGUGGUCCAGGAUAGGUUCCCUCGAGACGUCGAGGCGUCCUGCGACCGAGGAAGGUGCAUCCCACCCACGUGCGGUCAGGGCUUUACCUCGCGCCGCCCACAUUUCGUUCUGUGAACAAGAUAGGAGAGCUCUCCAGCGUGCGAAAGGUACCUCGCGGCGAAUUUAGCGUUUAGUCAUAAUUGCGUUUUUCUCUCUCUCUUUAUUUGGUUUAUCCUAGUCACUUUGCAUUGUAUAAUUUCAUUAUUUCUUCAAUAAAGCUAUUCGCUUGUCCCGGCUUUUCUCUCUUCUCCGUGAGAGUUUUUACGCCGAGGCAAGUCGUCUUUUUCCCGCGCAAUUCAUUGUGUGUUUUUUUUGCGUUUGAUUUAUGCACCUAACCUUCCCUCACUCAUUCCACCAUUUUUAGUUUAAACAUAUAUAUAUAGAACUCAGUAGCUUUUGUUCACAAACAAUUUGGCUUUGACAUACAUGGAUGUAUUGAUGGAUUUUCAAGAUACAUAUUGUGGUUAGAAGUAGCUACGACGAAUAAUGAUCCCAGAGUCACAGCUUAUUACUAUUUACAAACAGUCAAGACUUGCAAGAUCCUACCUACUAUUAUUAGAUCUGAUAAGGCACAGAGAAUGUGCUUAUUGAACGUCUUCAGUAAAGUCUACGGUCAAAUCAUGAUGAUGAGUUUGCUGGUAAUGCUAGUUUUAUAAAAGGAAAAAGUGUAAGUAACCAAAGGAUAUAAUCAUACUGGGGUCAGAUACGGGGGAAUAUUCAGCUGAUUUUUACAUACAACUGUUUAAGUGUAUGCAGUAAAAAAAUGAAUUUGACGGAAGUGGUUUGCAUAAGAAAUGCCUGCAGUAUUGUUUUGGUCCAUUAAUCAAAUAUGAUUUGAAGCUUACUAAGCAGCUAUGGAAUGAACAUAGAAUAAGAAAGCAAGCUGCAUGAAUAACGUUUCUGGAAAACCAUACGUAAUGUAUCAUUUGCCAGCACGUUUUAAUGUAAGAGAUUUUAAAAAAGAAUUAGACAUUGCAGUUGUUGAAAAUUCUAUUACAAAUUCAACGACAAAACCAAUUUUGUUUGAUCCAGAAUUUGAAAAGCUUGUUAAGUUACUUUCACCUAAUGCUACGGUUGCUGCAACUCCUGAUGAGGCAUUAUCUUUAUAUAGGAAAAUGUUAAGUUUGAUAAAUGAAUUCAAGAAAGAUAAUCAAAUUUAGAAAAUUAAUCUACUCUUUAAAAUAUUACUGUAGGAAUGAGAAGUACUUGAGAGGCCACUUACGGACAAGGGAGGCUUGUACGAUAUGAUUGUUAAAUAAAUGAAGCAACAAGGGCAUGAAGAAGAAUUGUGCAGCUGGCUGAAAGAAUCAAACAUACCACAGAAGGCUGCAAUGGCAAAAGCAUGCAAUGGUCUCCGGCUAAAUCCAUUGAUAAAUACAACUGAGUCUGUUUUGACUGCAAAAUCUUAGGGAUAUUUUCUUCUUUUUGCAAAUUAAAUGCGACUUGAAAACAUGCAUGCAACUGAUAGUAGCCUAGUGUCAAUCAAUACCAAGCGAUGUUGUCAUCAACCAUUCGAGAAAGUUUUUUGAUUUCGUUUUAACUUUUGAAUAUGCAUACUAAAAUUACAUUGCUGACAAAUUUCUUAAAAUUCAUUUGCAUAUGUAAAGCCUCAUGUAGUUAAGAAAGCCUAUGAAAAAUUAGGAAAGGUUACCGAAACCUAUGUUAUUAAACAUGCAAAAGAAUGGGUACUUGGAGAAGGUGAAAAAAUAUUAAUAGUUAAUGAAUUUCCUAGAAGAUGUAUGACAAAAACUGUAAGUAAUCCAAUACUAUAGAAACGCAAUAACAACUGUCGUAUAAUUCUAUGUAUUGCUGAAUGUCACGAUCUUCCACCAAGAAUGUGGAUGCAUAUAAUAAAUGCCAAUCUAGAGCCACCAAAAAAAUGCAAAAAAAAACACCAACUAAAUGCAGCUUGAAUCGUUGAAGAAGCAUUGAAUGAGAUUUGGGCUCAGGCAGUACCUGGAAGUUUCUGGAUAGCUAAUAAACAAGUCAAAUAUUACCCAUGAUACUCCUGAAAAGAAUUAACUUCUUGCUCAUCUUCCCUUACUGAACUGAGAAAGUUGUGCCAUGAAAUUAUCAAGGACUGGGAGCGGUCAAUACAGUACUCUGCUGACAUCAUAUGGGAGAAAACAUCUCAUUGUUCAGUUAAUUAUCUACAUAUUUUCAUUAUUAAAUAAUAUUAAAUAUUUUUUACGUUAUUUAAAUUAAUUGUAGAAAAGAUUUUAAUAAAUAAUUCACAAAUAUGUAUAAAAAA